AGGGUUUAGUGUAAUAAGAUAUCUCUUUAAUUGCUUAUGAAAAUUAGAACAAUUUUUAUAUCAUCAGUUCUCACUGACUGUUCACAACCCCACUGAAGACCAAGACUGGUGAUGUGUUCCUUCGCAGAUACCUUGCCUGAAACUAGCUAAUCUCAUGUGUUCCCUAAUACAUUUUCCCAGAUUCUCAUAUCCAUCAAAAACAAAUGCUAUUCCAACGUGGUGAAAACUCUGUGGACUAUCUGCCAUCUCUGAACAGCACUGGUGGGCCAUGUAGGCAUUGGGCAGUUGCUUUGGGAUGCAUCUACACAAAAUUAAUCUCCUGACCCAUCUCUACUUAGAGUAUAUUUGUUCAUAUUGUGGAACAGCCUCAGAGCUCCAGAAGCACCUCUUUUUGGGUGAAGCAAAACUGGAAGAUGCACACUCCAAGAGCUUCCCUUCUGCGCUUUAACCAUGAAAGAAUGCUCAGUCCACUGGAGUCUACCCAAGAAUACUCUACCUGUUCCUGUUGAGACUGGGACUACUUACUGUACAAGAUUUGCGGAGACCAGAGAAAAAGACACACCUGUAUUUGACAUUGCGGUGAUCUGGUGCGAGUGAGUGAGUGGAUCUGAGAGUGAAGAGUGCCACCAUCAGGACGACUGGCCAAAUGGAAGGAAGUUUUGUGAAGGCUGGUUUCUCUCUCCUUUCCCAACUUCACAGUAUACUUGUGAAAAUACUCUCUCAGAUUCUCUUAUCUAAUCCUACCUGAGCAAUCAGACAAAGUUGAUUGAUGGGGUUAUUUAUAGGAGGUGGAGAUUUUCCUGAAACCUCACACUCCUGUUACUCUCCCUGUGUCAGAGCACAUGCGGUUGUUUGAGGUUUCACAUUUUUCUGCUUAUGGUCUCUAUUGCCUUUUGAGUUUUUCACACAAUGGCAACUAAAACAUAGAAUCAUCACCACAGAAUCACAGAAUGGUUUGGGUUGGAAGGGACCUUAAAGCUCAUCCAGUUCACCCCACCAUGGGCAGGGACACCUUCCACUAGAGCAGGUUGCUCCAAGCCCCUGUGUCCAACCUGGCCUUGAACACUGCCAGGGAUGGGGCAGCCACAGCUUCUCUGGGCACCCUGUGCCAGUGUCUCACCACCCUCACACUAGAGAACUUCUUUCUAGUAUCUAAUCUAAAUCUCCCCUUGUCAGCUUAAAUCAAAAUCAAUCUUGGUUUGUUUUUGGUUUUGGUUCGGGUUGGUUUUUUUGAGUUUUUUUCUAGUCUUUGGACACAGCUUCCUUGGUUUCUUUUAUUGAUUAUCAAGACAAUACUAAUUGUUCCUUUAUUUAGUCUUGGAGUUCAGAGAAUGCAUGUCGAAGGCCACCUUAACCUCUCCGUUAACAACGUAUUGCAAGAUCUCAACAAACAUAGCAGUCUCGUUCUUCACAUUUCAUUCAUACUGGGACUUCUUGAACUCAGAGGUGUACAAACGUUUUUUUUUCUUUCAUGAAAUAAAUACUCAAUCAAAUAAGUGGAUUUCAUUAAAAAGUUCGUUAAAAGUGAAGCAUACUGCAACAAGCUGAGUAACAAACUAAAUCUUGCCUUGGGCAACAAGCAGAAUUUAUUUACUUUUUGUCCCUUUAUCUUCCAACCCUCUCAUGUCAGACUGUGAUGGAUGAAAAGAGUUUCCACACCAAGAUCUGAAUUCUCAGCAAAUUGCUGACAGCUGGUGUCAUUCCAAAUUAGAGAUAGGCUAUUACUAGGGAUCAGCUUAUUCCAUAAAUUUAGUCUUUUUGAUUACUUGCAAAUUAUUUGUGAAUUGGGUUUGAUUCUUCAUGUGCAUUUGUUUGUAACUGAUUUUUGUUUGAGAUACUGUUUGUGUGGAGAAAUGUUAAUCGCGUGGGAAAUUUGUUUAUCCCUGUAUGAGCUUUGUUUUUUAGAUAAUUCUUUUAACUAUUUUCAUUCUAAACAAAAGAGGUUAUUUUCUACUUAGCAUUUAUUCACUAGCAUUUAUUCACUCAAAAUUUUUGAGAUUUUUUUGUGAAAAAUUGGAAUUGUGACAGAGAGAUCUGCAAUAUGAACCAUUCGAGAAGUCUUCGUGAGCAAGGAUACUCAGCUCUGCCUCUGUGAGACAUUCCUGCAAAUGAAACCUGUCUAUCAAAUGCUUUAUGACUGAACAGUAGAGAAAGGUCACUGGUCACAGCAAGCACUACAGUAAAAGCACAUUUUCUUUGCAAGAACAUAUAUUCUUCAUUUGUGUAAUUCUA